rnacentral:lncRNA from 1 species
CACAGCCAGUGGCAGAAGAAGCUCAGAUCCAGGUCACAGGCUCCAAAGGUAGGGUCUUUCUGAUUCAGAGACAGGAGACUCAAAGCAGUUGACACGGUCAAGAAAACCUUGAUCCAAGACGAGCCCUGGAAGGGGACCCUGAGUCCCGGGAAGACUAAGCUCCUUCCCUGGCUCACAAUCCUCUGGCCUGACCUUGAAAAGGUGAAGUUCAGUCCCAAGUUCAACCCACCCACACACACACACAUGCACGUACACAAACUCCUUCAGACCAGGAAGAGGAAUCAAGUGCCAUGUAGAUGGCGGGCGGUCUCCACACAGACUGCUGGGUCCCUUUGAGAAGGAUGAGCAGAGGGGGUCCCUCUGAGGGUCUGGGUCCUGCCUGAGGAGUUUGUCACGUCACAUCCCCCGCUGGGUCUCGCAGUUCUGGCUUGGGCUCCUCUCAAGAGGUUUACAGGGCUCAGAUCUGGGGAAGUGGCCUGUCCUGGUGUGGCCGAGCUCUGUCUUGGGCCUGCCCUGAGAGAGAAGGGCUGCUCCCUGGGACCUGCGGUGUGACCCUGGCCAGUGUCCUCUCAUGGGGUCCAAUGGCCAGAAUGAAAGGCGGAAAUUGUCCUCUGGACGGGGACAGAUAGUAGCAUUGAGAGAAAGAAGUUAAGCUACAAACAGCACCGCUAGUCGCUCCAGUGUCCUUCCCUGUCCCUGUCAGAGCCACAGAAACUCUCCCAGACUUUUCACGGGGCACAUGGUGGGCCAGAUUAGCUAUAUUUCCCUGGCUUCCGUGUAGCUACAAAUGGCCAUGUGACUGCAUUUAGACAAUGGGAUGUGACGGAGAAUAAC